AUACGUAGGUGACAAGCGUUAUCCGGAUUUACUGGGCGUAAAGGGCGUGUAGGCGGUCUUGCAAGUCAGAAGUGAAAUUCCUGAGCUCAACUCGGGCGCUGCUUCUGAAACUGCAGGACUUGAGUGCUGGAGGGGAUAGCGGAAUUCCUAGUGGAGCGGUAAAAUGCGCAGAUAUUAGGAAGAACACUGGUGGCGAAGGCGGCGAUCUGGACAGUAACUGACGCUGAGGCGCGAAAGCGUGGGGAGCAAACAGGAUUAGAUACCCGGGUAGUCCACGCCGUAAACGAUGAAUACUAGGUGUAGGGGGUAUCGACUCCCUCUGUGCCGCAGUUAACACAAUAAGUAUUCCGCCUGGGGAGUACGGCCGCAAGGUUGAAACUCAAAUGAAUUGGCGGGG
rnacentral:rRNA from 1 species